rnacentral:tRNA from 1 species
UUUUUAUCAAUGCAAUGGGUUUAAGAUUCAUUAGCUUUCUCAUUCUACUCUUUCAC